UCUGGUUGCAUGCCAUAUAAGAAGGGCAGCAAACCCUAGUCACCAUCUAGUACUGUCAAAAUGGGCUGGCUUGGCCCAGUCCGGCCCGACCCAACCCAUAAGGGCCUAAAAUUUGAUGGACCAGGUUGGGCUAGGCCCAGCCAAAAAAUGGGACACAAUAUAGCUGGCCCAGCCUAACCGUUUAAGGGCUGUGGGCCGGGUCGGGCCGGGCUAGCCCAUGGGCCUUGAACCUCAAAUGAUUGAAGAUUGAAGACUGAAAAAAAGAGAGGCAGAGAGCUCGAAAGGGGGAGAGUCUGGAGCGGUCGAGUUUGAAGAGUGGAGAGAGAUCGAGAGAGCAUGAGGGGAGGUCGAAGGUGGUACGGAUCUGACUCGAAGAGUGGAGAGAUCAAGAGAGUCCGAGGAGGAGGAGCCAUGGUCGGAUUUGAUUUGGAGGUGGCGGCGCCGCGAGCGGUCGAGCCUGGAGAGUAGAAAGAGACCGAGAGAGCCCGAGCGGAGGUAGCGCGGAUCUAUCUCAUAGAGUGGAGAGACCGAAAAAGUCCGAGGAGGAGGAGCUGCAGUCGGAUUUGACUCAGAGGAGGUGGAGCCAACGACGAGGAGGAGGAGGAGGGGGU
rnacentral:lncRNA from 1 species